rnacentral:piRNA from 1 species
CCUUUAAAAAGGCACUGAGAAAAUAC